AACGAACGCUGGCGGCAUGCCUAACACAUGCAAGUCGAACGAGACCUUCGGGUCUAGUGGCGCACGGGUGCGUAACGCGUGGGAACCUGCCCUUAGGUUCGGAAUAACUCCCCGAAAGGGGUGCUAAUACCGGAUAAUGUCUUCGGACCAAAGAUUUAUCGCCUUUGGAUGGACCCGCGUUGGAUUAGCUAGUUGGUAGGGUAAAAGCCUACCAAGGCGACGAUCCAUAGCUGGUCUGAGAGGAUGAUCAGCCACACUGGGACUGAGACACGGCCCAGACUCCUACGGGAGGCAGCAGUGGGGAAUAUUGGACAAUGGGCGAAAGCCUGAUCCAGCAAUGACGCGUGAGUGAUGAAGGCCUUAGGGUUGUAAAGCUCUUUUACCCGGGAUGAUAAUGACAGUACCGGGAGAAUAAGCUCCGGCUAACUCCGUG
rnacentral:rRNA from 1 species